rnacentral:tRNA from 1 species
GCCCCCGUAGUUCAACGGACCAGAACGAGGGACUCCUAAGCCCUAAAUCGAGGUUCGAUUCCUCGCGGGGGCA